rnacentral:rRNA from 1 species
UGGGAAGUUUUGGACAAUGGGCGAAAACCUGAUCCAGCAAUGCCGCGUGCAGGAAGAAGGCCUUCGGGUUGUAAACUGCUUUUGUACGGAACGAAACGGCUCUUUCUAAUAAAGAGGGCUAAUGACGGUACCGUAAGAAUAAGCACCGGCUAACUACGUGCCAGCAGCCGCGGUAAUACGUAGGGUGCGAGCGUUAAUCGGAAUUACUGGGCGUAAAGCGUGCGCAGGCGGUUAUAUAAGACAGUUGUGAAAUCCCGGCGUCAACCUGGGAAUUGCAUCUGUGACUGUAUAGCUAGAGUACGGUAGAGGGGGAUGGAAUU